rnacentral:rRNA from 1 species
AACGAACGCUGGCGGCAGGCUUAACACAUGCAAGUCGAACGAGAUCUUCGGAUCUAGUGGCAGACGGGUGAGGAACACGUGGGAACAUCCCUUUCAGUUCGGAAUAACGUUGGGAAACUAACGCUAAUACCGGAUACGUCCUUCGGGAGAAAGAUUUAUCGCUGAAAGAUUGGCCCGCGUCUGAUUAGCUAGUUGGUGAGGUAAUGGCUCACCAAGGCUACGAUCAGUAGCUGAUCUGAGAGGAUGAUCAGCCACAUUGGGACUGAGACACGGCACAAACUCCUACGGGAGGCAGCAGGGGGGAAUAUUGGACAAUGGGCGCAAGCCUGAUCCAGCCAUGCCGCGUGAGUGAUGAAGGCCUUCGGGUUGUAAAGCUCUUUUAUCCGGGAAGAUAAUGACUGUACCGGAAGAAUAAGCCCCGGCAAACUUCGUGCCAGCCGCCGCCGUAA